UACGUAGGGUGCAAGCGUUGUCCGGAAUUAUUGGGCGUAAAGAGCUCGUAGGCGGUCUGUCGCGUCGGCUGUGAAAACUCGGGGCUCAACCCCGAGCCUGCAGUCGAUACGGGCAGACUUGAGUUCGGUAGGGGAGACUGGAAUUCCCGGUGUAGCGGUGAAAUGCGCAGAUAUCGGGAGGAACACCGGUGGCGAAGGCGGUUCUCUGGGCCUUACCUGACGCUGAGGAGCGAAAGCGUGGGGAGCGAACAGG
rnacentral:rRNA from 1 species